GGCCCGUUGGUCAAGUGGUUAAGACACCGCCCUUUCACGGCGGUAACAUGGGUCCGAAUCCCGUACGGGUCACCA
rnacentral:tRNA from 2 species